rnacentral:rRNA from 1 species
CAACCCUUUAUCCCUAGUUGCCAUCAGGUAAAGCUGGGAACUCUGGGGAGACUGCCGGUGAUAAACCGGAGGAAGGCGGGGAUGACGUCAAGUCCUCAUCGGCCCUUACAUCCCGGGCUACACACGUGCUACAAUGGCAGGUACAGAGGGCUGCGAAGCCGCGAGGUGGAGCGAAUACCCAGAAAACCUGUCUCAGUCCGGAUUGAAGUCUGCAACUCGACUUCAUGAAGGCGGAAUCGCUAGUAACCGCGAAUCAGCAGGUCGCGGUGAAUACGUUCCCGGGCCUU